AGCAGGUCAGCAGGCAUGCUGCAAAGCGACGAGCUGAAAGGCAGCCCAAGGCUUCCCCCGCUCCUGCUAGGGGCCAUCCUCCUUGGUUGCCCUAGCAACCAGGGAAUGAGCUUCCUGUAGCCAAUGCAGGGGAAAAUAGCCACAGAGGAGGGCAUUGCAGAUCAAAGUGUGUAGCUAGCAUGACAGCGAGCAAGCCUGGAGACCGACUACACCCCGCCAGCUGAGCGCCAAGAUGUUUGCAUUGUGUCACUGCUUGCUGACUUACCACCUGACAUUGUUGAGGACCAGCGUCGAGCAGAAACUCACUGUGGCGAGUGAAGACGGGGAAUGUCCUGCUGAAAACACACAGCAACACAGCACAGUCAGUUUCUGCCACAGAAUCCGGCUUCAAUCCUCUUGUCCAUCUGUCUCCACUUCAUCUUGAUGACCAGCAGCAGGAAACAUGUGAUGUAAAGCAACAACCUCCAUCUGGAGUCAACUUUUUGGCUUUGUUCAGUGACAGUUCUGCCCUUUGAAAACAAGGUCAAUGACAAUUACAACUGAAAUAAGAUUUUGAGUGAGCAGCUGGUCUACACAGUGGGCAGCAGAAUACAUUGAGGACUACUGUUCCUAAUCUCCCAAAAAUGCUUAUUUGAAGCCAAACUUUUACCAUGGCUACUGUAUUCCAUAUGGCUAACAUCAUCGAGAUCAAUACAGAUCAAUCGAGAGUGCUUAUGAUUAUAAAUUUGCCCUCUUGAUAGUGGCACAGGGCCUAUAAUACAGUUCUCUACUACUGGUGUAGAGAAUAAUGUGUAAUAGGAACAUGGUUUUUAAAGCUUAAACAUUUUUACAAUAAAAAUGGAUCAAAU